rnacentral:rRNA from 1 species
GCUUACGGCCAUACCAACCUGUGUACGCCCGAUCUCGUCUGAUCUUGGAAGCUAAGCAGGGUCGGGCCUGGUUAGUACUUGGAUGGGAGACCACCUGGGAAUACCAGGUGCUGUAAGCA